AGUGAACGCUGGCGGUAGGCCUAACACAUGCAAGUCGAACGGCAGCACAGUAAGAGCUUGCUCUUACGGGUGGCGGGUGGCGGACGGGUGAGGAAUACAUCGGAAUCUACUUUUUCGUGGGGGAUAACGUAGGGAAACUUACGCUAAUACCGCAUACGACCUACGGGUGAAAGCAGGGGAUCUUCGGACCUUGCGCGAUUGAAUGAGCCGAUGUCGGAUUAGCUAGUUGGCGGGGUAAAGGCCCACCAAGGCGACGAUCCGUAGCUGGUCUGAGAGGAUGAUCAGCCACACUGGAACUGAGACACGGUCCAGACUCCUACGGGAGGCAGCAGUGGGGAAUAUUGGACAAUGGGCGCAAGCCUGAUCCAGCCAUACCGCGUGGGUGAAGAAGGCCUUCGGGUUGUAAAGCCCUUUUGUUGGGAAAGAAAAGCAGCAGGUUAAUACCCCGCUGUUCUGACGGUACCCAAAGAAUAAGCACCGACUAACUUCGUG
rnacentral:rRNA from 1 species